ACGAACGCUGGCGGCGUGCCUAAUACAUGCAAGUCGAGCGAAGUUUUUCUGGUGCUUGCCCUAGAAAAACUUAGCGGCGAACGGGUGAGUAACACGUAAAGAACCUGCCUCAUAGACUGGGACAACUAUUGGAAACGAUAGCUAAUACCGGAUAACAGUAUUUCUCGCAUGAGAGAUAUUUAAAAGUUGGUUAUGCUAACACUAUGAGAUGGCUUUGCGGUGCAUUAGCUAGUUGGUGGGGUAAAGGCCCACCAAGGCGACGAUGCAUAGCCGACCUGAGAGGGUGAUCGGCCACACUGGGACUGAGACACGGCCCAGACUCCUACGGGAGGCAGCAGUAGGGAAUCUUCCGCAAUGGGCGAAAGCCUGACGGAGCAACGCCGCGUGAGUGAAGAAGGAUUUCGGUUCGUAAAGCUCUGUUGUUAGGGAAGAAUGGAUAUGUAGUAACUAUACAUGUAAGAGACGGUACCUAACCAGAAAGCCACGGCUAACUACGUG
rnacentral:rRNA from 1 species